rnacentral:misc_RNA from 1 species
GUGAGCCGGAUGCGGGAAACCCGCCUGUCCGGUUCGAUGUGGCGGGGACCGGAGACGGAGUGAUGGCGCGCUCUAC